rnacentral:rRNA from 1 species
UCUAGGAUUAGAUACCCUGGUAGUCCACGCCGUAAACGAUGUCGAUUUGGAGGUUGUGCCCUUGAGGCGUGGCUUCCGGAGCUAACGCGUUAAAUCGACCGCCUGGGGAGUACGGCCGCAAGGUUAAAACUCAAAUGAAUUGACGGGGGCCCGCACAAGCGGUGGAGCAUGUGGUUUAAUUCGAUGCAACGCGAAGAACCUUACCUGGUCUUGACAUCCACAGAACUUUCCAGAGAUGGAUUGGUGCCUUCGGGAACUGUGAGACAGGUGCUGCAUGGCUGUCGUCAGCUCGUGCCG